GUCAAGUUAGUUUAAUAUAAAACAUCAGCCUGUGGAUUUGAAAAUAAAAGUUAUUUUACUUGACC
rnacentral:tRNA from 1 species